ACAGCAGGCUGUGUGUAUCGGAUUCAUGCCUUCAAUGCAUUUGAUUCCGAAAGAAAUGCCUGCAAAAGUGAAAUGGUGAAGGUGGGCAAUGGACUUUCCUGAUGUCAUGGAAUUUCUUCAUAAUCAUCUUCCCUACAUAA